GAUUGGGGCUAGUGUUGUCCUAGCCUUGCAGCAGAAUCGCGGGGUCCCUGGCCAGGCGCAGGCCUGGAGCGGGGAAGGCCCAGGAUGGAAGCGUGCGCCCCUGACCUUGAAUGGCUCGGGGCCCAGAAUUACUACCACGCCCCCGGCGUCCGCUAAGGAGCAGCUAACCUGACCAUACCUGCUCGGGGCCAGGUAGAGAUGGGGGGUGAGGCCAGCAGGCAGGCAGAGCUCUGAGAAGGAGGCAGGGUCGAGGCUCCUGCGUGGGAAAAGCCGAGGUUGCCACCGCAGGCCUGGCACGACCAGGGUCUGGAUGCCCCGCCCGGCCCGGCCCCCGCGCGCACAGGUACCUGGAGACGAUUUCAACUGAAGUAAUGAAGGCAGUGUCGUGCUGUCGAGAGAAAGCUGGAUCCCAACAACAGGAAACUACCUAAAUCACCGACCAGUUCUGGUGCUGCCCGCGCGGGGCUGCCUCGCCCGCCGCCGCCUCCGCCGCCGCCAAGGGAGAACCCUGAGAUCGCGCCCGGCCCGGCCCCUCGCCAACCUGCGCCCGCCGCUGCUACUGCGUGCCCCGCGCUGCCGCUAAGGCAUCACGGAGGGAGAUGCCACCGGCCCCAGUUUGACCCUUUUAUGCAUGUAACUUCACAGUAUAAAGGAAAUUCACAAUGUCUCCCUUCUCUAGCCAUUCUGCUUGCCCCCAGCGGAGGAGUCCGCCUCUGUGAAUUUUGGAAAGUAAAAAAAAAAAAAAAGAAGAAGAAAAGAGUGGGGAAAAAAAGAAAACCUCCACAAGAUAGGGAGGACUGUGGUGUGCUUGUCAUGUGUUACCACUGGUAACAAUUAUUUAAUGACAAAAAAUCCACAAAAUCUGCAUAUCUAAACAAAACUACAUUAG